rfam:Hordeum vulgare subsp. vulgare, WGS project CAJW01000000 data, contig: morex_contig_1560399
CUGAUACUCUCUUCGUUUCAAAAUUCUUGUCUUAGAUUUGUAUAAAAAAUGAUGUACCAAAAUGGAUACAUUCAUAUCAAGACAAAUAUAAGACAAGAAUUUUAGGACGGAGGGAGUAUAAG